rnacentral:rRNA from 1 species
AUUGAACGCUGGCGGCAUGCCUUACACAUGCAAGUCGAACGGCAGCACGGGUGCUUGCACCUGGUGGCGAGUGGCGAACGGGUGAGUAAUACAUCGGUACAUGUCCUUUAGUGGGGGAUAGCCCGGCGAAAGCCGGAUUAAUACCCCAUACGAUCUACGGAUGACAGCGGGGGACCUUCGGGCCUCGCGCUGUAGGGUUGGCCGAUGGCUGAUUAGCUAGUUGGUGGGGUAAAGGCCUACCAAGGCGACGAUCAGUAGCUGGGCUGAGAGGACGACCAGCCACACUGGGACUGAGACACGGCCCAGACUCCUACGGGAGGCAGCAGUGGGGAAUUGUGGACAAUGGGCGAAAGCCUGAUCCAGCAAUGCCGCGUGUGUGAAGAAGGCCUUCGGGUUGUAAAGCACUUUUGUCCGGAAAGAAAUCCUUGGCCCUAAUACGGUCGGGGGAUGACGGUACCGGAAGAAUAAGCACCGGCUAACUACGUG